GGGUGAGGCAGUGGCCGGCGUGAGAGACCGUCCACACCGCAUGGCUCCCCCCAAGCCGCGCGUAGAGGCUCUGCAUGGUGCUGGUGUAGUAGGACGCCACGCCCGGGUUACCUGUCAGGGGUGUUGAGGUCUCCAGAAUGUGGUCCGAUGGUGACGUAGCAGACGCUCAUAGGCUUACAAGUGGGCGUGGGGACGAGGGAGGCCGCUGAUUGGCUGAGGCUGCACGACGUCAGAGGGUUGGAGUUGCCAGAGGUUGCGAGAUCCGAUGCUGUGGAAGAGAAACCUGUUGAAGAUGCGUAUGCAGAUCACCGUUACCCUCCCCCCUUCCUCCUCCUCCCUCCCUUACCUGUUCUCCCCUUCCCUCCCUUCCCUUACCUCCUCCUUCCACUCUCCUCCUC